GGCUGCGGAGACUUUAAAGGGGGCGCGCGCAGCCUGGCGGGGCCUUCACCUGGCGGCGGUAACGGCCGCCAAACAGGCCAAGAGAUGCCACCGCCUCGUCGUUUCCCCAUGGUUCCAUACACCAAUCAAGCGAGCCAUCGUGAUUAGUGACUGUGCUAAUCAGCAUCACCCACAGAUCGUGGCUUUUCCCAGAAAAAAUGCCCUUCCUGAGGCUGGGAAACUGAAAUUUUUCUUGCGGUCUGUUGACAAGACAGGAUCCCGUCUCGCCUUGCGGAAUUUUUGGCACAUCCCGUGUGGAGGCAGCGUGACGUGACACCUGACACACUGCAUUUCCCUGCAAGUCAAAGCAGAGACUCUGCGGCACGGUGGCUGCUGCCCAGGGAGGUGGCUGCUGACAUCAG